rnacentral:rRNA from 1 species
UACGUAGGGUGCGAGCGUUGUCCGGAAUUAUUGGGCGUAAAGCGCGCGCAGGCGGCCUUUUAAGUCUGAUGUGAAAGCCCACGGCUCAACCGUGGAAGGUCAUUGGAAACUGAAAGGCUUGAGUACAGAAGAGGAAAGCGGAAUUCCAACGUGUAGCGGUGAAAUGCGUAGAGAUGUGGAGGAACACCAGUGGCGAAGGCGGCUUUCUGGUCUGUAACUGACGCUGGAGGCGCGAAAGCGUGGGGAGCAAACAGG